AUGUUUGAUCCCUGGCCUCUCUCAGGGACCCGACCCGUCUACACACAUCACACCCGGGGUCCCUCCCGAGGGACGGCGACGCGUCUCCUCACGUCACACCUGAGGACCCUCCCGAGGGACGGUGACCCGUCUCCUAACGUCCCCCCGGGGUCCCUCCCCAGGGACGGUGACCCGACCCGUCUACACCCAUCACACCCGGGGUCCCUCCCGCGGGACGGUGCCCCGCCUCCCAUCGCCCCCCCGGGGUCCCUCCCCAGGGACGGUGACCCGACCCGUCUACACCCAUCACACCCGGGGUCCCUCCCGCGGGACGGUGACGCGUCCCCUCCCGUCACACCUGAGGACCCUCCCGAGGGACGGGGACCCGUCCCCUCACGUCCCCCCCGGGGACCCUCCCGAGGGACGGUGACGCGUCCCCUCACGUCACACCUGAGGACCCUCCCGAGGGACGGUGACCCGUCUCCUCACGUCCCCCCGGGGUCCCUCCCGAGGGCCGGGGACCUGAGCGUGUCUGAAAGGCUGCCUUUGGCUAAACCGCUCCGCCCGCCGUGCGGUGACCGCGGGCAGCAGGCUGCUCUCCCACUGAGUUCUGCUGAUUCGGCUGAGCUCCGACGGCGCCACGACGGCGCCCGCUCCUCCCGGAACCGCUCGCGUUCUCCCCGCCGCCGCGCGUCUCUGCUCGGGAACAGGUUCCCGCCGCCAGCGGGUGACCGGCCCGCUUCUGUCCGCUCUCCCUCAUCACCGGGGCCCGGCGGGGCCGCCGUCCCUGUGCC
rnacentral:lncRNA from 1 species